rnacentral:rRNA from 1 species
UACGUAGGGGGCUAGCGUUGUCCGGAUUUAUUGGGCGUAAAGAGCGUGUAGGCGGCCAGGUAGGUCUGCUGUGAAAAACUCGAGGCUCAACCUCGAGACGUCGGCGGAAACCAUCUGGCUAGAGUCCGGAAAGAGGAGAGUGGAAUUCCUGGUGUAGCGGUGAAAUGCGCAGAUAUCAGGAAGAACACCCGUGCGAAGGCGGCUCUCUGGGACGGUACUGACGCUGAGACGCGAAAAGCGUGGGGAGCGAACAGG